rnacentral:rRNA from 1 species
GACAGAGGGUGCGAACGUUGCUCGGAAUUACUGGGCGUAAAGCGCGUGUAGGCGGACUAGUAAGUCGGACGUGAAAUCCCUGGGCUCAACCCAGGAACUGCAUCCGAAACUAUUAGUCUGGAGUGGUGGAGAGGAAAGCAGAAUUCCUGGUGUAGAGGUGAAAUUCGUAGAUAUCGGGAGGAACACCGGUGGCGAAGGCGGCGACCUGGGACAAUACUGGACGCUGAGGUGCGAAAGCGUGGGGAGCAAACAGG